rnacentral:rRNA from 1 species
GACGAACGCUGGCGGCGCGCCUAACACAUGCAAGUCGAACGGAGCCGAGAGGAGCUUGCUUUUCUUAGCUCAGUGGCGAACGGGUGAGUAACGCGUGAGUAACCUGCCCUGGAGUGGGGGACAACAGUUGGAAACGACUGCUAAUACCGCAUAAGCCCACGGUGACGCAUGGUACUGAGGGAAAAGGAUUUAUUCGCUCUAGGAUGGACUCGCGUCCAAUUAGCUAGUUGGUGAGGUAACGGGCCACCAAGGCGACGAUUGGUAGCCGGACUGAGAGGUUGAACGGCCACAUUGGGACUUAGACACGGCCCAGACUCCUACGGGAGGCAGCAGUGGGGGAUAUUGCACAAUGGGGGAAACCCUGAUGCAGCGACGCCGCGUGGAGGAAGAAGGUUUUCGGAUUGUAAACUCCUGUCGUUAGGGACGAUAAUGACGGUACCUAACAAGAAAGCACCGGCUAACUACGUGCCAGCCGCCGCGGUAA